GGAGCAAACGAAGUGAAGCAUGUUAUUUAAUACGAAAGUACGCGUAAAAUCUUACCAGUUCUUGCAUAGCCAAUCCCUCUUAUUUAUUUAGAAUAAAAUUACUCUCUCUCUCUAAGAGGGAAAAUAUUUUUCUUUUAAAAUUAAGACUGGAUUGAGUGAUAAUUAUUUAUUAAUAAAUAAUUUAUUUAUAUUAAUUUAUCCGUUUACAGGUGUUGCAUG
rnacentral:rRNA from 1 species